GUACUUAUAACUACUGUUUUCAGUUGGUAAAUACGGAACAAUCAAAAAUUUUUGCUCUGUAUGGACCUCUCAAAACUGAAUUUCAUUGUAUCCAGCUAAUAAGGAAUCUCCGAUAAAAAUAUGAUUUUCUACGCCAAUACAAAAUCGGAUAUAUUAACAGCUAAAAAUUGAUUUUUUCCUUUUUUUUUCUUUGGGAUUGUCCCAUGUUUUAUUUGGAAAGUUGCAGUUCCAUUAAAUUUUAUAGACACACUUUGAAUGCGAGUUUUUUGUACAGAUCUUCAAUUUGAAAAAAAAUAGCAAAAUAUUAAAAAGAGUCUUUAUUAGAAUUCUUUACUAAGGUAUAAACAAAGAAAAUUUUCAUUGUUUGAAAUUAGCUUGCUGAUAUAAAAUUUUGUCCAUGAAUAGCUUUGGAGAUGGCCAAGUCAAACAUUAAUUAUACCUACACUUGAUAAUUUCAUUUGGUAGGUAGUUAGGUACAUAGUUGAUUCAAAUGAAAAUUUUAAAAAAUAUUGUGUUCAUUUGAUGCCUUUAUACCAUUAGAAGUAGGUAAACUGUUGCUAAGGAAGAUUUUAGGCUUACUUAUACCUUUCAUUAGUCACACCUGCAUUUUGAAGCCUGCGAGUUGGGUUUUGAAUUUAAUUUUCCUUUUGGCUCAGAAUUUUUUACAAGUACCUAUCUGGCAAUUGGCAGACGUAACCUAGUCCUCUUCUAUUUUCUGUUUUUAAAGGUUUAAAUCCUUAAUCUUUUCUCUUUGCGACAUAUUUGUUCAAUGCUGCUACGAUUGAAAAAUUUACUGGGAAGUAUUACGUUCAAUAACCCAACUCCAUGCAAUCUGCGCAAAAAAAAUCGUAAAAACGUGCCAACGUUAUGAGUAUGGGCGGGUGGGUAUCCAUAAAUAUCCAUAAACAUAAAACAUCACAAAUUCCGAACAUUCGAAGCAAUUAAAAAAAAUUACUUAUUCUGAAAACACGAAUUUUAUCAUUUUAAAAAUAUUAUUUUUACCAUUAUCUAAAUUUCUUCCUGUGGUUUGUUUAGGUACCUGUCAAACAUGAAACAUGAGCUCAAAGUCAGCUUAAAUGUCAAAUUUACGCGUAGCUAUGCAUUUAGGUAGGUAUUUGCAUUUCUACUUGAGCGGAACUAACAUCUACACCCAGCAUGAAUUCCAUCUACAAAUUUUACGUACUUUUUGCAUUUCUUAUUUCCAUUACGAUACAGCAUUCAUCUCAAGACAGAAGUAGAUCGAGAUUGGCCAGAAGAUAGCGCUACACUAUUUCCAUAUCCCACACCUGUGCCCAUUGUAAUCGAUUCUUCGAAAGUUAGACUCUUGAAGACUCCAACACCCUUGCAAUUCAACAUAAAUCCGUUACAAUUCUCAUUUACGACAAACUUUGGAAAUACAUUGGUUUCGCAAACAGCAGAGCCAGUCAUAGGCGAUUUGACUGGAGGCAUUUUAUACAAAGACAUUUACAAAUAUUUCCAGUGUGAAUUUUAUUGGGAUAAUGACUUGAAACCUGACGCAGGUGAUUUGAUCGAUGGACGAGGAACAUCUUUUCAAGCGGUUGCUUCCUUCUGGAACACAAAGUAUCAUUCCAAAGAAGAAGCCAUCAAAAAACGUGACGGAGUUGCCAGUAUAGUAGUUCCAAUUAAUGUUCUGCCUUUUUGUCCAAAUUUUUUAUUCAUUCCGUUCAAAUUCAAUCUUCAAUUCGUUAAGAAAGCGGGAUCUGUUACUUUGGUGGAAGAAUUUUUAGAAUAUAUCUGGUAUUUCACACCUUCCUUAACAAACAGUUACUAUGCGUAUCCAGGAGCCUAUCCUGAUCCUGAUACUGGUAAAGUGUACUACAGUGCAACGGUAUUAAUUUUCAACAGAACUCCUCGUCCAUGCAUUUCUUAUCGGCAGUUUAAAUCUACGUAUGGAAGCUUGCUAAACAAACAAGGAAAACCAUACUCGCAUACUCAAAAUAUUACCAAAACGCAUUCAAGACCUAUAGUGCUUGCCAAUGGAAUCGUUAUUAGAUUAAUUUAAUUCUGUUGAAUUUUCUAUCAACACAGUCAUGCUGCACAUCUGCCUUUUUCGAUUAAAAUACAGUACCUAGAUUAAAAUACUUAUGCGUUGAAUUGAUUCAUAUUUCAUUUGUGUUAAUUAUCUACCUAUUCAUUAACAUUUUAGAUUCUAAAUAAGUCCUUCACUUAUCUGUCAAAUAUACAAACCUACCUAUUUUAA